rnacentral:rRNA from 1 species
AAUAGCCUAACGGCUGAACCAGCAACUUGGAGGAAUGUAUAGGGAAAACUGGUAAAAUGUGAUGUACCUAGUAAUAUUAGUGAUUAAUACGAGAUUAACUAAGUUAAUUAAAAUUCUAAGUAGAUAUGUGAUUAUGACAAUAUGUGCUUAUGUCUUGACCAAGUCACGUGCCAGCGGUCGCGGUAAUACGUGGAAGAUUAGUGUUAUUCAUCUUUAACAGGUUUAAAGGGUACCUAGACGGUUAAUUAAGCUGUAGAAGGUACUAAUUAACUAGAGUUUAAUGUAAGAAAGAUUGAGUACGGUGAGUGUAGAGAUAAAAUUCGGUCAUACCACUUAGGAACUGGUAAAGGCGAAGGCAACUUUCUAUGUAAAAACUGACGUUGAANGACGAAGG